rnacentral:rRNA from 1 species
AGAGACAGCAGUCGCCGCGGUAAUACGGAGGGUGCGAGCGUUAAUCGGAAUAACUGGGCGUAAAGGGCACGCAGGCGGUGACUUAAGUGAGGUGUGAAAGCCCCGGGCUUAACCUGGGAAUUGCAUUUCAUACUGGGUCGCUAGAGUACUUUAGGGAGGGGUAGAAUUCCACGUGUAGCGGUGAAAUGCGUAGAGAUGUGGAGGAAUACCGAAGGCGAAGGCAGCCCCUUGGGAAUGUACUGACGCUCAUGUGCGAAAGCGUGGGGAGCAAACAGGAUUAGAUACCCGCGUAGUCCCUGUCUCUUAUAC